UGGAGUUACACUGAAAAGCUUUAAAGUCGAAAGCAAGCAAGCAAGUGAGGAAGGAACUAUACUUCCUUGGCGCCAAAAGCCGUCGAGCUGGCAUGCAAGCAGAUACGAUUUAUCUUCCUUUUCGCUAGCUUGACAGGCCAACACGUGGUUGGGUUUUUUAUCUUUAUUUUGAACUCUUGUUACUUUCCAAGCGCAAUAACAGCCAUGGACGCUCUACCAUAUUAAUAUGGGCUGCUCCCUAACAGGGUUGAACUUUAACUUGGCUCUUCGAAACACAAGGACGAGGAGAAGAUGAUAAAUUGCACCUCUCCCCUGGGCUCCUGAGAGCAGCGAGUGGUUGGCAGCUCUAAAUCACAUUAUAGUUUUCUGUUUUGCUGAAUUAAAUAAAGUCAAACGGGCAUCCUUCAAUUUGAUCGCUUAACCCGGCUAUAACCCAGUAAAGUGCCGAGAGACAGCAUAUAAAGGCCAGGAUGGUUUAUAUCAGCCGUCGGUGUCAGUGCCCGGCGCCUUUCUUCGUCUUUCAAUACGCAGCGUAACUUCUUCCCACUCCACGCGAGGGGAAGAGCUAUAGGUAUCAUUUGUCUGA
rnacentral:sRNA from 1 species